rnacentral:tRNA from 1 species
GGAGGGGUCGCAUAGCGGUCUAGUGCGGUUGCUUGGAGAGCAACUAUAGGAGCAAUCCUAUCGCGAGUUCGAAUCUCGCCCCCUCCG